UGCUCUCCUAGGUGAACUGCUUUCGCUAACGACCUCCACCUGCCCGGGUUUGUAAUCGGAGUUUGCUCUCCUAGGUGAACUGCUUUCGCUAACGACCUCCACCUGCCCGGGUUUGUAAUCGGAGUUUGCUCUCCUAGGUGAACUGCUUUCGCUAACGACCUCCACCUGCCCGGGUUUGUAAUCGGAGUUUGCUCUCCUAGGUGAAUUGCUUUCGCUAACGACCUCCACCUGCCCGGGUUUGUUAUCGGAGUUUGCUCUCCUAGGUGAACUGCUUUCGCUAACGACCUCCACCUGCCCGGGUUUAUUGUUCGGAGUUUGCUCUCCUAGGCAGAUUGCCUACCACGGCUAACGAGCCCCACCUGCGUUGUAGCCGAAAGAUCUCCGGCACCUCCGUCGGGGUCCCGAUGGACGCCGAGGCGCCCUGCCGGGAGCCCUCCAGUCCUGCCAUGCUCGCCAGGGAGACCUUGGGCUCACUGGCGCUCCACCGCCCCGCCGAUUCGAAUAGGGCGGAUGCAAGAACUCGCUUCUUAAAACUACCAGACUGGAUUAUAAAAUUAAUCAUAAAUGCCGUGAAGGCGCCGGUCACCGCGUUUAUCGGUUCUUGGAUGAAGGACCGAUGGGCCUCGGGGACGCGCACAAGCAUCAUAAGGAAUCCUCGCCG